rnacentral:rRNA from 1 species
UACGUAGGGUGCGAGCGUUGUCCGGAAUUACUGGGCGUAAAGAGCUCGUAGGUGGUUUGUCGCGUUGUCCGUGAAAACUCACAACUCAAUUGUGGGCGUGCGGGCGAUACGGGCAGACUGGAGUACUGCAGGGGAGACUGGAAUUCCUGGUGUAGCGGUGGAAUGCGCAGAUAUCAGGAGGAACACCGGUGGCGAAGGCGGCUAUCUGGACAGAGUCUGACGCUGAGGCGCGAAAGCUAGGGGAGCAAACAGG